rnacentral:tRNA from 1 species
GAAACCGCAGGUCAGCGGCAGGACUCCCCCGCCUCUCUCCUAAAGCGGGUGUCGCAGGUUCGAAUCCUGCCGGGGGCA